CCCGAGAUGAGUUCUCCCUGACUCCCUGAGAGUCCUGAAGGAACGUUGAAGACGACGACGUUGAUAGGCCGGGUGUGUAAGCGCAGCGAUGCGUUGAGCUAACCGGUACUAAUGAACCGUGAGGCUUAACCUUACAACGCCGAAG
rnacentral:rRNA from 1 species